UACGUAGGUGGUAAGCGUUGUCCGGAUUUACUGGGCGUAAAGGGCGUGCAGGCGGUUUGUUAAGUGCAGGGUGAAAGCUCCCGGCUCAACUGGGAGAGGUCCUUGCAUACUGGCAAACUCGAGGGAGGCAGAGGAAAGUGGAAUUCCCGGUGUAGUGGUGAUAUGCGUAGAUAUCGGGAGGAACACCUGUGGCGAAGGCGGCUUUCUGGGCCUUACCUGACGCUGAGACGCGAAAGCGUGGGGAGCGAGCCGG
rnacentral:rRNA from 1 species